UUUCCGCAUUGCCACACUCUCCCCUCCUGGAAGUAAACAACCCAUGGUUGUUAAAAGAGAAAACGAAUUAGAAACCUAGGAAUUCUUCAUCAUCAGAGGUUUCUUGAAAUAAGUUAAGGAGUUUGUUUUUCCUGGGACUCCAAUUCCUCUGCUGUUGGAUAGCAUGGUUUGAGGUUGCACACGUGUGCUGUGCGGACGUCCUCUCCAGUGUCUUCCAACGUUAUCUGAUAAUUCAACGGGCCUAACCGCUUUAAAACCCGUUGCACUAGAUGGUGGACAACAUCAUAUGAUGGUGUGGAUGGCGAAAGGCUCUGAACUUGGAGUAAUUUAUCCAUGGGGCUUUUCCCUAUUUGGAGUUCUGCAGGGGACAUCCCAAUGCUUUCCUGCACAGCUGAAUUAAUUGCAAACCGGAGUUCAGGUAAAUGUUGAUCCCACUUCUUGUGGUUGUCAUCCACGUACGAGGCAAUCAUGCAUUUUAGGGUCCGGUUAACUCUCUCAGUCAUAUUCGUUUGGGGGUGAUAUGCUGUUGUUAAUUUUUGGUUGAGAUUCCAUUUUGCACACAGCUCUUUGAAUAUGUUGGAAACAAAUUGGGUACCACGGUCAGACAAGAUGAAGUCUGGAACACCCCACCGGGUAAGGAUUUCGGUCCUGAGAAUCUUCGCUAUGGUUUGUGCAUUUGCACGGCGCAUGGGAAACAACUCAACCCAGCGAGUGAAGUAAUCCACAAAAACCAGAAGGUAUUCAUGACGUUGUGUGCUGCUUGGCAACGGCCCCAUUAUGUCGACACCCACCAUUUUGUUGGGUUGCGAGAUGGUAAUGGGUUGUAGCUUCCCAGCCGGUUUCUGGUUUUCACUUUUAAGUGUUUGACACUUUAUACAGUGCUUAACAUAAUUUUUGACAUCAGUCCACAUCCCUGGCCAGAAAACAACAUCUUGUAGUCGCUUGUAGGUUUUGUAGAUACCUCCAUGGCCGCUUAAAGGAUGGGAAUGGUAGUGAUGAAGGACAGCUGGAAUAAGACUGCUAGGCAGGUACACUCUGUAGUGAACUUGGCCAUUUGACAGGUGGGUCUUGUGAUAUAAUCUGUCCUCCACAACUUCAUAUUUGUCUUUUAGAUCACUGUUAUUGUCCUCUGCCAAUGCUUUAAAAACAUUUAUGAUCUCAGGAUCUUUCUGUUGUUCCUCCCAUAUUGACAACAGAGACUGGAAACUCAAUAUCCUCCUUCUGGCUGGAGUACAAGCUGCAACAAGGGCCCAUCUAAUGAGAUGGCUGGUGGUUUUUGGGGAACUUAAGACCCACUGUAGUGCAGAAUGGUCAGUGACUACGGUGAACAUCUUGUGCUCCAGCACAGAGUCCGGAAUCACUGGCAUCGGUGUACAUGAUGAACGGAAGUUGGAGAUCUGGAUGGCCAAGGAUAGGAGUGCAUUGAUGGGUUCAGCGAUCUUGGAGAAAUUUGGGACAAAGCGGUGAUACCAUCCAGCUAGUCCAAGAAAACGCUGGACCUCUUUGAUGUUCCUUGGCACAGGGUUUAUGGUCAAUCCAGCUUCCUGCAGUCAAUUGAGAACAGUUUGAAGGUCCUUGAAGUGCUGAGCUACAGAUAGUGAGCAACGUGCCACGUGGGGCGUGCGCGCGUGCAAACGCCCAACACAAACAAAGAGUGAGGAGAUGCAUCGCGGCUACUGUUCGUUUCUGGAAGACGCGCCGAGUAAAAGCAGGAUUUCCCUCGAAAGAAGAACACGAUUUCAUCCAGCAGAGGAGAUGAAUACCAGCACCAGAUGUAUCCUGAUGUCUCUUCAAACUGGUUUCCUCUGAGAGCGCUGCACCAACAUCAGAUGUUCAACUACACUGAUAUUCUAUGUCAAAACAAGCUCCUUCUCUACUGAUUAUGUUUUUUUCUUCUUGAAUCCAUGGAAAGAAGUAGAAACACUUAAAUAAAACACGUAAAUAUCAGGUAUAAUUUACUUGUUUCACUUGUUGAACAGAAUCUGUUGCAGGAAUGACUCAAAGUCUGUUCACAUCUCUGUGGUUAGAUCAGUGUGCACAAUAAUGUGUCUUUGACCUUCAUUAUGUAUGUUUUG